UCACACCCACUUCAUUAAAAAUCCUGAUUCACCAUUACAACACUAAUUUCAGCAACGAUUGCCUCCGUCUUCCCAAAACUCUAUGAAGAAGAAAAAUCCAAUUCUCUGUCUUUCCUUCCCCGACCCGAAGCAUGAAGCUUCUCUCCAAUCUCCUUGGUCUUCAAAAACCUCCAAUGAAACCGAACUAGUAACCUUGAAAAAAAACUUGAAGCUAGCUCUUCGUUCCAAAAAAUCCCCCCC
rnacentral:lncRNA from 1 species